rnacentral:lncRNA from 1 species
GGAAGGGCGAAUUGAAAAAUUACUUGGUCUUUUUGACCACAUGGGUAAUUCUGUUGAGAGCAGUUGUGCAGUUCUAGAGAGCUUGGGAACAAUGGAUGUAGGGACACAUAGAUAACAGAGUAAAGAAAGAGGAAGGACGAGGAGGAGGAGGAGAGGAAGCAGAAGAAAAGAUAAGAAGAAUAAGUCUGAAAGAGUGCAGGAGUGCCAGGAAGGCUUUCUCAAGAGAUGUAGAAGAGAGCAAAUAACGAAGCGCAGUAAGAAAGCUAGAAGUACUGACAGAAAGAGGAAAAGGAAUAAUGUCAACAACGAAUGGUUGAAGAUGUGAGAGGACUGGAGCCUCUUUAGCUAAAGGUGUAGGAGGCCAUGUGGCAAGAUUGCAGGCGGCCUCAAGGAUCUACAUGGUGCCAUAACCACAUUCAUUUGCAAGAGGACUCUGAGCUCCAAAUGAGAACCCAGACUAGCUGACACAAUUUUAGCCUUAUGAGAUCUUGAACAGGGAUCGAACUUGGGACCUUGCACUUGUGAAGCAGGCAGCAGCACCACUGAGCUAAAUCCCUGUCCCCUGAGACAUUAAAGAUUCUUUUGUUGUUCUUUUUGUCCUUAUAGGAUACCCACUAGGAACGUAUAGUUAAAUUACAAUGUUUAAUGUCAGUUGGAAUAAUCCCUUUCUGUAUGGUUAUGCUAAUAAUGAGAUACCCAAUUAGACUCACUUGUUUAUUUUCAUUUUUAGAGAUUGCUUUUAAAAUACCAGCUUAUUUUUAUUUUUUAUGGGAUUGGGAAUUGAAUUUAGUGCUCCAUGCAUAGUAGGUGAGGAGUGGUCAGAAGGGUUUUGGAAUGCCUAAGAAAUACUUUCUCUAUUCAUUGGACGAAUCAGAAGGCCAAAUUGAAAGAAAACCUUUGGAACUCCUCCCCCUACUUAAAAGGAGCCAAUCACAACGCCUAUGGGAAAGUAGAAUCAAAGGCAAAGUGGAAGAUUAGAGGGGGGGUGACAUCAUGUCCCUGGCAACCUAGAGGGAUGUUUUGGAAUUCUAAAUGAGUUGGUUGGCUAACAAGAGACUAUAGGGUCAACAAAAGUGAGGGAUUUAAAAAAGAUUCUAGCAGGAUAAAAUGAGGUUAGCGAGUACACAAAUACGAGGCUUACAGUUGACAGGAAGGGCAAGAUGGCUGUGUAGGGAAAGUUGGGGGACAGGCAGGGCAAGGUAGUGUCUCUCAGUGAGGUUUCUGGCAAAUAAAGAGUUAAAACCCUGCUAGAGAGAGCAGCUCAGCAAAACAAAGAGCUGAUCAGACCCUGGCUU